UACGAAGGGGGCGAGCGUUGUUCGGAUUUACUGGGCGUAAAGGGCGCGCAGGCGGCGCAUUUUGUCAGGCGUGAAAGCCCCGGGCUUAACCUGGGAACUGCGUUUGAUACGGAUGGGCUAGAGUUCGGGAGAGGAGAGUGGAAUUCCCAGUGUAGAGGUGAAAUUCGUAGAGAUCGGCAGGAACACCCAGGGGGAAACCAGUCGACUGGGCAUCUACUGACGCUGAGGUGCGAGAGCGUGGGGAGCGAACCGG
rnacentral:rRNA from 1 species